UUUGAUUUGGAUAGAUAUGCUAAGGAGCUUAUACCCGAACUACAAAUAUCCUGAAAAAUUCACAGAAGCAAAGAGUUACAGACUGCGUUCAGAGAAGCUGGAGAAGUUGGGGUUGAGAUAUAGAACAAUGAAGGAGAGCCUCAUUGAUACCGUUGAAUGUUAUCGAAAUGCUGGUCUUAUGGACAGUGCUUAAACUACGUCUUUCUUGUUGAUGUUGUAUUAUUAUGGAUUGUGGAAAUAAGGAGAUGUUAAUGAACCAAUAAAGUUUGUGAUGGCAGUA